GAUGAACGCUAGCGACAGGCUUAACACAUGCAAGUCGAGGGGCAGCACGGGAGUAGCAAUACAACUGGUGGCGACCGGCGCACGGGUGAGUAACGCGUAUGCAACCUACCUAUCAGAGGGGAAUAACCCGGCGAAAGUCGGACUAAUACCGCAUAAAACAGGGGCACCGCAUGGUGAUAUUUGUUAAAGAGAUUCGCUGAUAGAUGGGCAUGCGUUCCAUUAGGUAGUAGGUGAGGUAACGGCUCACCAAGCCGACGAUGGAUAGGGGAACUGAGAGGUUGGUCCCCCACACUGGUACUGAGACACGGACCAGACUCCUACGGGAGGCAGCAGUGAGGAAUAUUGGUCAAUGGGCGGGAGCCUGAACCAGCCAAGUCGCGUGAAGGAAGAAGGAUCUAUGGUUCGUAAACUUCUUUUGCAGGGGAAUAAAGUGCAGGACGUGUCCUGUUUUGUAUGUACCCUGAGAAUAAGGAUCGGCUAACUCCGUGCCAGCAGCCGCGGUAA
rnacentral:rRNA from 1 species